GUGAAUAUAGUUUAAUAAAACGCUAGAUUGUGAUUCUAGAAAUGAAGAUUAAAAUUCUUCUUUUCACC
rnacentral:tRNA from 1 species